rnacentral:rRNA from 1 species
GACCUGCCGCUGGAGGAGGUGCCCGCGUGCCAUCAGCUUGUUGGUGAGGUAAUGGCUCACCAAGGCUUACGGCUAGCGGGUCUGAGAGGAUGGCCCGCCGCACUGGGACUGAGACACUGCCCAGACUCCUACGGGAGGCUGCAGUCGAGGAUCAUUCGCAAUGCGCGAAAGCGUGGCGAUGCGACGCUGCGUGGGGGAUGACGGCCCUAGGGUUGUAAACUCCUGUCAUGAGGGAGAAGCCGGCGACGGGUUAAUAACCCGCCGCCCCGAUAGUACCUCAAGAGGAAGCCACGGCUAACUCUGUGCCAGCAGCCGCGGUAAUACAGAGGUGGCUAGCGUUGUUCGGAUUUACUGGGCGUAAAGCGUGCGUAGGCGGUCGAGUAAGUCGGAUGUGAAAGCCCGGGGCCCAACCCCGGAAUUGCGUCUGAAACUGCCCGACUUGAGUGCAGGAUGGGAGGGGGGAAUUCAUGGAGUAGCGGUGAAAUGCGUUGAUAUCAUGAAGAACACCGGUGGCGAAGGCGCCUCUCUGGAAUGCAACUGACGCUGGAGCACGAAAGCAUGGGGAGCGAACAGGAUUAGAUACCCUGGUAGUCCAUGCCGUAAACGGUGCGCACUUGGUGUUGGAAGGGUCAGCCCUUUCAGUGCCGGAGCUAACGCGUUAAGUGCGCCCGCCUGGGGAGUACGGCCGCAAGGCUAAAACUCGAAGAAAUUGACGGGGGCCCGCACAAGCGGAGGAGCAUGUGGCUUAAUUCGAUGCAACGCGAAGAACCUUACCCAGGCUUGAUAUAUAACUGCAAGUCCUGUGAAAGCAGGAUUCCUUCGAGGGUGUUAUACAGGUGCUGCAUGGCUGUCGUCAGUUCGUGCCGUGAGGUGUCUGGUUAAGUCCAGCAACGAACGCAACCCCUGUGUCCAGUUGCCAUCAGGUAAUGCUGGGAACUCUGGACAGACUGCCUGUGCAAUCAGGAGCGCAGGUGGGGACGACGUCAAGUCAGUAUGGCCCUUACGCCUGGGGCUGCACACGUGCUACAAUGGCCGGUACAGAAGGAUGCAACACCGCGAGGUUGAGCAAAUCCCCAAAGCCGGCCCCAGUUCGGAUUGAAGUCUGCAACUCGACUUCAUGAAGUUGGAUUCGCUAGUAACGGCGUAUCAG